rnacentral:rRNA from 1 species
UACGGAGGGUGCAAACGUUGCUCGGAAUCAUUGGGCGUAAAGCGCACGUAGGCGGCCUGAUAAGUCGGGUGUGAAAGCCCUGGGCUCAACCCAGGAAGUGCACUCGAAACUGUCAGGCUUGAAUAUGGAAGAGGGUCGCGGAAUUCCCGGUGUAGAGGUGAAAUUCGUAGAUAUCGGGAGGAACACCAGUGGCGAAGGCGGCGACCUGGGCCAAUAUUGACGCUGAGACGCGAAAGCGUGGGGAGCAAACAGG